rnacentral:tRNA from 2 species
CAAAGCGUAGUUUAACCAAAGCAUCUCGCUUACACCGAGACCAUAUCUGUUAAAGCCAGAUCGCUUUGA